AGACUAUUAGAUAUGGGUUGUGAACAUUUCAGCUGUAAAUUUUUUUGCAAUUUUAUUUUAAUUCUGAUAUUGCCAUUGAGAGGUAUAUUUGGGGAACAAAUCAGGGUUACAUUAAAGGUAGAACAGGUGAUGCAAAAUAUUUAUGAAGUUAUCUUCUAUGGCUGAGGACUACCCUAAGGCUCCUUUUGGGUACUGGAAGGCUGCAAUUACCUCACCCCUAGGCCAUCUCUUCUCCAGGCUGCACAACCCCAACACUUCCAGCCUGUCUUCACAGGACAGCUGCUCCAUCCAUCUAAUAAUCUUGGUGGCCUCAUCUUGACUCUCUCCAACAGAUCAGUCUCCUUCUUUUGUUGCAGACCCCAGAGCUGGAUGCAGCCCUGCAGGUGGGGUCUCACCAGAGCAGAGCAGAGGGCCGAAAU